rnacentral:rRNA from 1 species
AACGUAGGAGACGAAACGUUAUCCGGAGUUACUGGGCGUAAAGGGCGUGUAGGCGGUUUGUUAAGUUUGGCGUGAAAGCUCUACGGCUAAACCGGGAGAGGUCGUUGGAUACUGGCAAACUAGAGGACGGUAGAGGCGUGUGGAAUUCCGGGUGUAGUGGUGAAAUGCGUAGAGGAUCCGGAAGGAACACCAGUGGCGAAGGCGACACGCUGGGCCGUACCUGACGCUAAAGCGCGACAGCAUGGGGAGCAAACGGG